CUACGGGGUGCUGCAGUGGGGAAUAUUGGGCAAUGGGCGAAAGCCUGACCCAGCAACGCCGCGUGAUUGAAGAAGGCUUUCGGGUUGUAAAAAUCUGUCCUUGGGGACGAAGAAGUGACGGUACCCAAGGAGGAAGCCCCGGCUAACUACGUGGCCAGCAGCCGCGGUAAUACGUAGGGGGCGAGCGUUGUCCGGAAUUACUGGGCGUAAAGGGUGCGCAGGCGGCGCUUUAAGUCAGAUGUGAAAUACCCAGGCUUAACCUGGGGGGUGCAUUUGAAACUGGAGCGCUUGAGUGCAGGAGAGGAAAGUGGAAUUCCUAGUGUAGCGGUGAAAUGCGUAGAUAUUAGGAGGAACACCAGUGGCGAAGGCGACUUUCUGGACUGUAACUGACGCUGAGGCACGAAAGCGUGGGGAGCAAACAGGAUUAGAUACCCGUGUAGUC
rnacentral:rRNA from 1 species